ensembl:lncRNA ZNF503-AS2 ZNF503 antisense RNA 2
GGAGGAGGAGCUGGCGCGGCGGCCACGGGCGCCCAGCGCGCCUUCUCGGCGCCUGGAGCCAGACGCGAGUAAUCCUGGGUGGCCCGCAGCGGAGCCGUGGCCGGGCUAGAGGAGCCGGCUGGACUGCGGGAGUGCCGGGCGGCUCGCGGUGUCCGCCUCGGGCUGCUCCCCUGCGCUGCGUUCUCGCGGCCCCGCGCCGGCGCUGCGCUCUGCGAUGCGAGCCGCUGCGUGUCCAGCCGGGGCUCUGGCGAGGAAACUCACUUCAAAAGCAGCUGCACCAAGGGGGAGAUUAAAGCCUUUGCCGCCUUCCAAUCAAAUGGGAGCCCGAGGUGAUUGGAGGGUCAAGGGGAUGUGACGCGUCCCGCGCCGCCGCCGCCGCCGCUGCCAGGACUCUCAGUGCCGGUUUUAAUGGGCAGCUCCCUCUUCGCCGCCCCCCUGUGUGUCCCCUCCCUCGAUUUCGCUGGGAGGACGAGAUGGACAUUUAUUCUACGUUUGCCAUCCGCCGCCUCCCUCUUUUUUCCUCCUCGUCGUUCUUCCUUUCCCCAGCUCGAAAAUAAACUGAAACCUUCUUUUGAAGGGGGGUGCGCGUGAGGAACAGACUGCGGGGGGUGUCCAGAAGGAGCACCGGUGGGAGUGUGGACACCGGCCGGACUGUCAACUCCAGGGGCGAAGGGAACCUGCACACCCAGUGUUUUUUCCUUCGCAGUAAUCGAGAUCCCGCGCGGCGCAGCGCAGCCACCAGGAAUCGACGGGAUUUCUCUGGCUGUCGUUUGCGCUGCAUUUAUCCGAAUACAUCCAGCUCGCAGGCAUCCUGCAAGAAACGGCUCCCGGCUCGCGUGUACGCCGACACCUCGGCCCAACGCAGGACUCGAGGUGGUUUCUAGUGCCCGGGUGGCUGCAAGUCUGCCCUCCGAGGGAGGCUGGACAAGCGGCGCCCCCAGGUCGAGCGGCCUCUCGCUGCCUGGCAGUGCCUGGCAGCCCCCACCUCUGCCAGUGCUUCGGAAACCCGCCUGGCCAGGUUCGCCCGCGGUGAAAAAUGAAAGCAAAUUCCCCAACAGAGGUAGCCGGAACUUUCCUCGACGAAGGCUCCCUCCUGCGCCUGUGUCUGGAGAACCCCCAGAGCGCUGCAAGUUAGCAAGAGAGAUUCGAUGGCGGCUCUGGAAGGCGCACGAAGGGUGGGGCGGGGGAGCAAAGAGGCCACUGGGUGACCCAGCCUGGUCCGGGGUGAAACGCUAGAGAAGGCGCCUCGCCUUCCUUAUUUCAAUGCAACUCCUCGGCCCCAGACGGUAAAAAUAGUUUCCAAGCUGCCGCGGACGCCCAGGAUGUGUUUGCAGAGAUCAAACUGGGGAGGAGGCAGCUUUGUAAAAGUUGCAGAAAGAUUAGCCGAGAAGCGUCCGCCCGGCGGGGCUCAAGAAAGCUUGGGGACAGCU